CAUUGAAAAUAGCUGAUAUCAACUUACCUGCCAUGUCACUGAAAAACAAUACUAGAAAGUCCGCAUAUUUUGACCAAUUCAGGGUAAAAAAUGGGGUUACUCCCUCAGCAAAAUUGGGAUAAAGUUGAGCCAAAAGACCCCGAUUCAAGAUAAAUUCAAAAGGAAAUAGGAUCUCUUUAGGAUCCACUCCAGCAUUUAAAAAUUGGUUAGUUAAUCGGUAAAGAUACAUGUACUUGAUACUCCGUCCAAGAAAGAGACCCAAGUCCUAAUAACCCUGCUAAAUGGUGAUUCAACAUAGAUUCAACAGAAGGUUAACGUUUAUCCAGAAACGUUAACCUUCUGUUGAAAUUCAAAUUUUGAAUUGGAAAUUGGGCGGGUUCGGUCAAGGUAAAAACUGAAAAACCAAAAAGCUUUUCAUUUUCAAUCUUCAUUUUUUGAGCUCUAUCUGUUCAUCAUCACCACUACCGUUUGGCUGCCACUUCCUUCCAUCUUAACGUUGGCAACAUUUCUGCACUUGUAAGGAUUUGAUAUGGACAACAGUUAUAAUGAUAUGAGGUGCUUGCACCAAAUGUAUCAAGUGGCCUCAGCCCUCAGAUGGAUGUUGUAGUUGGCUCAACAGUUGAUAAGCUGACUUUAUUUACAUUUCUUGUUGUGCUUGUGGGUAGCUCUGUAUUUAGGUGGAACCGUGGAAGGCCUUUUAUAAAGAAGGAAAUUAAUUUCUAGCAUGGCACAAGGACAUCACAGCCUGGGUUUAGUAUCAGUCGGAUCAAUAUUUAGAAAAAAGUAGAGAAUACGUUGUUGCUGAACGACAAGAUUUGUUGAAUUCUUUCACUUGUCCGUUUGUAGCAGGCCUUUAACCUUCUCUAUUUACCCUGUGUUCAUGUCUCUUGUUUGAAAGCUAAAUUGGGACACAAGACGAUGCCUCUUUCACUUUUGCCGUCUGUCAAUUCUCAAGGUAUCCUUGCCUCUGAACCUGUGGUUGUUCUGCAGACUAGAUCAUGCCAGCUACGCAAUAGAACCAUUACUCAGCUUUUGAUUUAGUGGCAAGGGGGCUCCUCUGAUGAUGCUACUUGGGAGGACUUGUUUGCUCUUCAGCAGCAAUUUCCACAUCUUGUGGGCAAAAUGUUUUAGUGGAGGGGGUAAUGUUAGGAGUCUAGUUUAAUGGUGUACUGAAAGAUUGGUGUAAUGCAUUGUAUGUUAGUAUUACUGAAUUGCUGGUAUGUGUUGGUAUGUUAGUUACUGGUUUGUUAGUUGAGGUGUUCAAUUAGUUUUUGCGGGAAAAGAAUUAAGGAACUCUUGUAUAUAACUAAUAAGCAACAUAAUGAGAAGCAUCCUGGAAAUUAACCAAA